rnacentral:rRNA from 1 species
GACGAACGCUUGCGGCGUGCCUAAGAAAUGCAAGUCGAGCGGGGGAGCAAUCCCCAGCGGCGAACGGUCGCGUAACACGUAAGCAACCUGCCCCAGAGACCGGGACAACAGUUCGAAAGGACUGCUAAUACCGGAUGCGUCCAGCAAAAGACAUCUUUUGCUGAGUAAAUCACUUGUUGGCUCUGGGAGGGGCUUGCGGCCUAUCAGCUAGAUGGCGAGGUAACGGCUCACCAUGGCGACGACGGGUAGCUGGUCUGAGAGGAUGGUCAGCCGGACUGGGACUGAGAUACGGCCCAGACUCCUACGGGGGGCAGCAAUUAGGAAUCUUGCGCAAUGGGGGCAACCCUGACGCAGCGACGCCGCGUGGAGGAGGAAGUCUUUCGGGAUGUAAACUCCUUUUAGGUAGGAAGAAGGAUGUGACGGUACUACCUGAAUAAGCCCCGGCUAACUACGUGCCAGCAGCCGCGGUAAUACGUAGGGGGCGAGCGUUGUCCGAAGUUACUGGGCGUAAAGCGCGCGUAGGCGGGGGAGCAAGUCCGCUGUGAAAGCCCGAGGCUUAACCUCGGAGGGUCGGUGGAUACUGCUUCUCUUGAAGAGGCUAGGGGGAGAUGGAAUUACCGGUGUAGCGGUGAAAUGCGUAGAGAUCGGUAGGAACACCAGUGGCGUAGGCGGUCUCCUGGAGCCCUCUUGACGCUGAGGCGCGAAAGCUGGGGGAGCGAACGGGAUUAGAUACCCCGGUAGUCCCAGCCCUAAACGAUGGAUACUAGGUGUCGGGGGGUAUCGACCCCUCCGGUGCCGCAGCUAGCGCAGUAAGUAUCCCCCCUGGGGAGUACGGCCGCGAGGUUGAAACUCAAGGGAAUUGAC